rnacentral:hammerhead_ribozyme from 1 species
AUCCAGCUGACGAGUCUCAAAUAGGAUGAAGCGCACUUUGUCCUGGAU